rnacentral:lncRNA from 1 species
CGCUCCUGCCGAGGACACGCCCUCUCCAUCCGGGCACUCCCGGCAAAGCCCAACCCCGCCCCCUCCAUCCGGGCUUUAGACUCGCGGACUUUAACCUACCCCCUCCCUCUUGAGCCCCUUGAGAAAACCACUCCAUCAAUCAUACCCACUUAACUCUCUCUGGGCUUGAGGCCGAGGACCCCCUCCGCGCAGUGCCCCAGCCACGCGAGACGCGUCUAAGAGGCCAGCCGUGCACUCACAAACUCUCAGGACCGCCAAAGACCAGACCCCGCUGAUGAGGUUUUACCGAGCAGGCAGACGGUCGGCUGCACAAGGCCAGUUCAGGGCCCCCACAGCAGCCCGCUCCCCUCCUGUCCUCAUUUCGCUUGGAGGAAGCCAGGUGCUAAAGGACCCUUCUGCUGAGACCAGCCCCAACUACACCCAAGCCAACCUCAGUCCUGGCCCCAGGGCAUGCAGACCCUCUUCCUUCAGCUCAGCUGGCUUCAACCAACAGGUUCCUCACCAACCUUAUCAAGACACCAGACCAUCAACUCCACCCUCUGGACUCUGCCCCCUCCCCUUCCCCUAGGCGGGUGCAGGCAGGUCUUGGUGAGCAGCACAGGUGGCCAGACUAGAUGAACGAGCCCAACAGGGAGGAGCCUUCCUCCUCAGCAACAACUAUGACUCUAGGCCUAAGCCUGGAAGUGGCCUCUGCUACAAGCCCCCCUCCAUCCACCCUCAAGGCCAUAUCCUGUUUCCCCAUCAUCUCCUUCCUCUGUGUGGCCCAAGAAGGUGACAGAGGCCCACUCCCUUCCCUCCCAAGCCUGAGACAAAAAGUUAAGUCUUUUAACUUAAGUUCAGGGCCAAGAAUCAGGUGUCCAUCCAGGGACACCAGGGGUCAGUCCUCAGUCAAACCUAACCUUAGUCUCAUUCCUCAGGGACCUAUGUUUUCCAUUCCCCUAAGCCACGGUGGUUCUCAGCCCCUGUGGACCCAGACACUUUGGCCCCCAGUCCAGUCUAUUCCCAGCCCCCAUCCUUCCCCCUGCCCCAGAGACUAAGGCCUCUGGCCCCCAGCCUCCAUGAUGCAAUAUGCCGCAAUCUUCUGUGGCUGCUGAUGACACUGCCCCCAAGGAAGUGUUAUUUGUAACCCAAGCAAAGCCCCUCACCAGGGUUGUGGUCAGCUGCAGUCUGGGAAAGCCAAACAGGCAAGGCCCUUCUGCUGGAAAAGGGUUCUUGAGGCUGGAACUCUCCCAGACAGGGAGGAGAAUGUAGAACUAGGGAAGAGGGGAUGUAUUCCUGUAGUUGAUAGUAUUUGUGUGGCGGUUGUAUUGGAGGGAAGAAGUGCUGCAGAAGGCCUGGCCUAGAGAGAGAGGACCAAGAGAAGUGAAGGGGCAGCCAAGGUGGUGGGGUAGGUGAGGGGUGUCUGGAUACCAGAGUGGGGGAGGGGUCAACAGCCAUUUAAAAGACCAACUCCAGAGCUUUAAUCCCUCACCAGCCCUGGCCCCAAGUAGGAGGCUGUAAUUCAUCUGUCCAACAGCUGGGGUGGGUGUGUGGUUGGGGGGGCAUGUGGAUGGGAAAGGGGAGCUGGGGGAAGGGCAGGGGCCUUCUUAUGCACAGAGGCAAACAACAAAAGGGGAAGCUGAAGGGCCAGCUCCCUAAGGUCCAGGCCAGGCUGCUGACCUGCAGGUGGCCCCCACCUGGUGGCCAACAAAGCUCCAUAGUUUUGACUCAAAAAUUCUUG